AUUGAACGCUGGCGGCAUGCUUUACACAUGCAAGUCGAACGGUAACAGGCCUUCGGGUGCUGACGAGUGGCGAACGGGUGAGUAAUGCAUCGGAACGUGCCCAGAGGUGGGGGAUAACGCAGCGAAAGCUGUGCUAAUACCGCAUGUGAUCUGAGGAUGAAAGCGGGGGACCAGGCAGCAAUGUUUGGCCUCGCGCCUUUGGAGCGGCCGAUGUCAGAUUAGGUAGUUGGUGGGGUAAAGGCCUACCAAGCCGACGAUCUGUAGCUGGUCUGAGAGGACGACCGGCCACACUGGGACUGAGACACGGCCCAGACUCCUACGGGAGGCAGCAGUGGGGAAUUUUGGACAAUGGGCGCAAGCCUGAUCCAGCAAUGCCGCGUGCGGGAAGAAGGCCUUCGGGUUGUAAACCGCUUUUGUACGGAACGAAAAGGCUCUGGCUAAUACCUGGGGCUGAUGACGGUACCGUAAGAAUAAGCACCGGCUAACUACGUG
rnacentral:rRNA from 1 species